rnacentral:rRNA from 1 species
UACGUAGGGGGCAAGCGUUGUCCGGAUUUAUUGGGCGUAAAGAGCGUGUAGGCGGCCAGGUAGGUCUGCUGUGAAAACUCGAGGCUCAACCUCGAGACGUCGGCGGAAACCAUCUGGCUAGAGUCCGGAAGAGGAGAGUGGAAUUCCUGGUGGUAGCGGUGAAAUGCGCAGAUAUCAGGAAGAACACCUGCGGCGAAGGCGGGUUGCUGGGCUGACACUGACGCUGAGGCGCGAAAGCUAGGGGAGCGAACGGG